rnacentral:rRNA from 1 species
CCCUACGGGAGGCAGCAGUGGGGAAUAUUGCACAAUGGGGGAAACCCUGAUGCAGCAACGCCGCGUGAGUGAAGAAGUAUUUCGGUAUGUAAAGCUCUAUCAGCAGGGAAGAAGAUGACGGUACCUGAUUAAGAAGCCCCGGCUAACUACGUGCCAGCAGCCGCGGUAAUACGUAGGGAGCAAGCGUUAUCCGGAUUUACUGGGUGUAAAGGGCGCGUAGGCGGGAUGGCAAGUCAGAUGUGAAAUCCAGGGGCUCAACCCCUGAACUGCAUUUGAAACUGUCGUUCUUGAGUACUGGAGAGUUU